rnacentral:rRNA from 1 species
GCGUUGCUCGGAAUCACUGGGCGUAAAGGGUGCGUAGGCGGGUCUUUUAAGUCAGGGGUGAAAUCCUGGAGCUCAACUCCAGAACUGCCUUUGAUACUGAGGAUCUUGAGUUCGGGAGAGGUGAGUGGAACUGCGAGUGUAGAGGUGAAAUUCGUAGAUAUUCGCAAGAACACCAGUGGCGAAGGCGGCUCACUGGCCCGAUACUGACGCUGAGGCACGAAAGCGUGGGGGAGCAAACAGG